UAGAACGCUGACUACUUUAGCUUGCUAGAGUAGAAGGAGUUGCGAACGGGUGAGUAACGCGUAGGUAACCUGCCUACUAGCGGGGGAUAACUAUUGGAAACGAUAGCUAAUACCGCAUAACAGUGUUUAACACAUGUUAGAUGCUUGAAAGAUGCAAAUGCAUCACUAGUAGAUGGACCUGCGUUGUAUUAGCUAGUUGGUGGGGUAACGGCCUACCAAGGCGACGAUACAUAGCCGACCUGAGAGGGUGAUCGGCCACACUGGGACUGAGACACGGCCCAGACUCCUACGGGAGGCAGCAGUAGGGAAUCUUCGGCAAUGGGGGCAACCCUGACCGAGCAACGCCGCGUGAGUGAAGAAGGUUUUCGGAUCGUAAAGCUCUGUUGUAAGAGAAGAACGUGUGUGAGAGUGGAAAGUUCACACAGUGACGGUAACUUACCAGAAAGGGACGGCUAACUACGUGCCAGCAGCCGCGGUAAUACGUAGGUCCCGAGCGUUGUCCGGAUUUAUUGGGCGUAAAGCGAGCGCAGGCGGUUUAAUAAGUCUGAAGUUAA
rnacentral:rRNA from 1 species